CCGCCCAUAGCUCAGCUGGUAGAGCAGCUCCCUUUUAAGGAGUUGAUGUUGGUUCGAUUCCAACCGGGGGGA
rnacentral:tRNA from 1 species